GACGAACGCUGGCGGCGUGCCUAAUACAUGCAAGUUGAGCGCUGAAGGUUGGUACUUGUACCAACUGGAUGAGCAGCGAACGGGUGAGUAACGCGUGGGGAAUCUGCCUUUGAGCGGGGGACAACAUUUGGAAACGAAUGCUAAUACCGCAUAAAAACUUUAAACACAAGCUUUAAGUUUGAAAGAUGCAAUUGCAUCACUCAAAGAUGAUCCCGCGUUGUAUUAGCUAGUUGGUGAGGUAAAGGCUCACCAAGGCGAUGAUACAUAGCCGACCUGAGAGGGUGAUCGGCCACAUUGGGACUGAGACACGGCCCAAACUCCUACGGGAGGCAGCAGUAGGGAAUCUUCGGCAAUGGACGAAAGUCUGACCGAGCAACGCCGCGUGAGUGAAGAAGGUUUUCGGAUCGUAAAACUCUGUUGGUAGAGAAGAACGUUGGUGAGAGUGGAAAGCUCAUCAAGUGACGGUAACUACCCAGAAGGGGACGGCUAACUACGUG
rnacentral:rRNA from 1 species